GGACUACAAGGGUAUCUAAUCCUGUUUGAUCCCCGCACUUUCGUUUCUCAGCGUCAAUAUUGGACCAGAGAGCCGCCUUCGCCACCGGUAUUCCUCCUGAUAUCUACGUAUUUCACCACUACACCAGGAAUUCUACUCUCCUCUUCCAUAUUCAAGCUCUGCAGUUUCGAAUGCACUUCCAUGGUUGAGCCAUGGGAUUUCACACCCGACUUAUAGAGCCGCCUACAAACGCUUUACGCCCAGUGAUUCCGAACAACGCUAGGACCCCUCGUCUUACCGCGGCUGCUGGCAC
rnacentral:rRNA from 1 species